CCUACGGGUGGCUGCAGUGGGGAAUAUUGGACAAUGGGCGAAAGCCUGAUCCAGCCAUGCCGCGUGUGUGAAGAAGGCCUUCGGGUUGCAAAGCACUUUCAGUGGGGAAGAAAGCCUUGGGGCUAAUACCCUCGAGGAAGGACAUCACCCACAGAAGAAGCACCGGCUAACUCCGUGCCAGCAGCCGCGGUAAUACGGAGGGUGCGAGCGUUAAUCGGAAUUACUGGGCGUAAAGCGCGCGUAGGCGGUCUGAUAAGCCGGUUGUGAAAGCCCCGGGCUCAACCUGGGAACGGCAUCCGGAACUGUCAGGCUAGAGUGCAGGAGAGGAAGGUAGAAUUCCCGGUGUAGCGGUGAAAUGCGUAGAGAUCGGGAGGAAUACCAGUGGCGAAGGCGGCCUUCUGGACUGACACUGACGCUGAGGUGCGAAAGCGUGGGUAGCAAACAGGAUUAGAUACCCUAGUAGUC
rnacentral:rRNA from 1 species